rnacentral:RNase_P_RNA from 1 species
GGAGUCGGCCAGGCAGUCGCUCCGUCCGCAUGGGCGGGGAGGAAAGUCCGGGCUCUACAGGGCAGGGUGCCAGGUAACACCUGGGAGGCGCGAGCCUAUGGAAAGUGCCACAGAAAAUAUACCGCUGGUUCUGUUCACGCAGCGCCAGUAAGGGUGAAAUGGUGCGGUAAGAGCGCACCGCGCGGCUGGUAACAGGCGUGGCAGGGUAAACCCCAUCCGGAGCAAGGCCAAAUAGGGGAACAUACGUGCGGCCCGCAUGGUUCCCGGGUAGGUCGCUUGAGACCUGCGGUGACGCAGUGUCCAGAUGAAUGGCUGUCCACGACAAAACCCGGCUUAUCGGCCGGCUCCCUUC